rnacentral:miRNA from 1 species
UGUUUCGGGGCUCAUGGCCUGUG